GCCUCCCUAGCUCAGUGGUAGAGCGGCGGUUUUGUAAACCGUUGAUAGCAGUUCGAUUCUGCUGGGAGGCU
rnacentral:tRNA from 1 species